CCAUUCCGCGUGAGUGAAGAAGGCCUUACGGGUUGUAAAGCUCUUUUGUCCGGAGCGAAACGGUUGGCGUGAAUAUCGCCGACUACUGACGGUACCGGAAGAAUAAGCACCGGCUAACUACGUGCCAGCAGCCGCGGUAAUACGUAGGGUGCGAGCGUUAAUCGGAAUUACUGGGCGUAAAGCGUGCGCAGGCGGUUUUGUAAGCCAGAUGUGAAAUCCCCGGGCUCAACCUGGGAAUGGCAUUUGGGACUGCAAGGCUGGAGUUUGGCAGAGGAGACUGGAAUUCCCGGUGUAGCAGUGAAAUGCGUAGAUAUCGGGAGGAAUACCGAUGGCGAAGGCAGGUCUCUGGGCUAUAACUGACGCUCAUGCACGAAAGCGUGGGGAGCAAACAGGAUUAGAUACCCUGGUAGUCCACGCCCUAAACGAUGUCGACUGGUUGUUGGGGGUUUGACACUCUCAGUAACGAAGCUAACGCGUGAAGUCGACCGCCUGGGGAGUACGGCCGCAAGGUUA
rnacentral:rRNA from 1 species